UGAAACAAUGCUAAAACUCUCUGUUUUUGCUCAGUUCCAUUCGAUUCAAUUCUUGUUCAGGCCGCUUACGGUGUUCCAUAGUUUCCCCAGAACCUUGAACGCCCGACCAGUAGUUGUGAAGUUGUCGUUAAAUAUUUAUAAUAAAUUAAUAAAUCUCCUCUAUCUCUUCCGCUCGAUGGUUGCUUUUCAAACCCACUUUGCUGAAACAGUGUAUUUUCUUGUAUCGCAGAUAAAAAUAUCCAAAGAUUUACUAGGAAGAGAACUAGUAGAUCUUGUGAAAGAAUCAGAUCGUGAAAGAAGAAGUUACAAUUCUCAGCUUCAAGGUUAGAGGGGGAAGCAUGGCAUCAUGCUUUGCAUGACGGAGCUAAGUAAUAACCCGGACGCCAACGAAAGCUAUCGGUUUUAACCUUUCCAACCUGAAUUUAUUACCUUAAAACGUCACUGGGCUCCGUGGAACUAAGACGUAAUAAAUUCGCUUCAAUGGAUGGAAUACCACAAACUAACUAGAAGUGUCUUACUAAAGUUAGAGAAAGUCGAGAAAGUACGUAGGCCUAUUUGCCUCGGCGGCGGUACGGCUCCAAUCAUAUAUCUAUUCACACAAACUUGAUAAAUACUUCUUUUAAAUGUUUUACGUUUUGAUUCUUUUACGUAUUUUGAAUUAAACAGGACACCAUCGUAGCGAAUGGAAUAUAGUGGGACCAUUGAAGUUGUUAUUCAAUCUGUAUCAAACAAGUAAGUAGACAUGAACUUCCUUAUCAUUUUUGAUGUUUUACCCCCUAUAUUAACUUGAACAGCUUGUUUUAGCCAUAUAUAGCUAUUUCUUUUGUUCAGCUGAUAUAGCUAAACUACUUACUUCUGAGAAACUUACUUACUUCUGAGAAAAACUUAGAAAAAAAAAUGUUGAUAGUGAAGUUCACAGACAGAAUAUACAGCCAUAAGAACAUUUGUAGGAGGAACGUUCUCGUGAAGAAGAACGUCAAAAUACGAAGGUAAGGGUAAAAUGGUUAAAGUAGGAAAUGCUAAGUUACUCGCAUUUACGACUCUACUACUGGCAGAAAACUUCUUCAUAAGAACUAACAUAUCAAGAAUAUUUCCUAGACGAUAAUGAGAGCAUGUUUGGAAUACAUCAGAUUAUUUUUCAAGUUGGUAACGUGUGCAUAGUAAGCGCAUCUUUAGCAGUACCAGACUUACUGGAUGCUAUAAAAGUAUUCAUUUGGAAGCAGCCUUGAUGAGAUUGCUGGUAGAAAAUGUCAGUUUCUUUUAUUUGUAACAAUAAAUGGAUGUUUAUUAGAGGAAUUUUGAAAUCAGCACACUAUUUAAAAAAGGUUUUCUAUUUCUAUUUCCCCAUUAUCGUACAGCGAUGUCGUUCCUGUCUAACAUCACGGCUGCCUUUAUGCUUAUGUUAGAAAAAAACUUUGCGACAUCACAUUUCUAGCAUCAGACCGAAUACUCCAGAAAAGUCAAUAGCAGCAUACCGCUUCAUGUUCAGUACCGGUUUUACCAAAAGAGAGGUGGAGGGACCCUCAUCUUUGUUCUUUACCUGUACCGUAUCUUUUUUUUUUGUUACAGUUUGGGGACCAUUUAAAAAAUUUAAAAUGUUGUAUUCGACUAGGCGCCAAAAUAAGAAAACAUAGCCCUGUUCGCAAGGCAGCUGCAGUAUCCAGUCGGAAAAUUUCCCUAAAGCCGUUCUAUGUCUUUGGAAAAAUACACAUAUUUGGUAGGCUAUA